UCCGGCUUAACGCCGGCGGUCUCCAUAGAGUGCCCAACUAAAUGAUGGCAACUAGGGAUAGGGGUUGCGCUCGUUAAGGGACUUAACCCGACAUCUCACGAUACGAGCUGACGACAGCCAUGCAGCACCUGAACCGUAAGUGUAUUGCUACAAGGUGAUAUCUCUACCACUGUCUUACGUUGUCUAACCCAGGUAAGGUUCUUCGCGUUGCAUCGAAUUAAACCACAUGCUCCACCGCUUGUGCGGGCCCCCGUCAAUUCCUUUGAGUUUUAACCUUGCGGCCGUACUUCCCAGGCGGGGUACUUAAUGCGUUAGCUUCGGCACUGUAGGGGUCAAUUCCCACAACACCUAGUUGUCAUCGUUUACAGCGUGGACUAC
rnacentral:misc_RNA from 1 species